GACCGAGGGGUGGGACACAGGUGGGCCAAAGAAGUAAUCUGGUCAGGAAGGACUUCUGAGUCAGCACCUUUUUGCUGGGGGCUGUUCAUUAACAUUUCUUUGAGGUGGACUUUGGCCUAGGGCCUUUUCGGACUUCAUUAACAUUCCUUGAGUUGUCCUGCGUUUCCCGGAAUCAUUGCCAGCAUGGCCUCCAUUUUAGAUUUCACUCGGUAUUAGACCCGAUUUACCUAACUACACUGACUACCUAACUUUAAAUCUGGCUUCACUAUUUUCAGUUUUGUGUGAGCAAGUUUUUCUAGUGUAGGAAGAUGUAAAGGUAUGAAAUUUUGUGAAUUGUAUCUUAAACUUGUAUCAUAAUUUUCAACAUCCAAACCUGAAAAUUGUGACUUAUGGUUAAAAUGCAUUAGGCAUGAGGCUUCUCCUCAGAAUCCCAGUUUUUCUUGCUCCUUCCAGACCUCAGGCAGGAUUUAAGUUGAAAUGCAAAUAGAAGAAGCCUGCAAGCUCAGUAGGAGACUGAGCUGAGGCCCAAGGGAAAAAAAAAGUAAAGGUGUCUUUUACCUGAACUCAAACUAGAUUAAAACAAAAAGUAAAUUGUGUGGUAUUUACUAAUAACUGGCCAGUCAUUUUUUUCUAGGACUUUUGCUUUUUCUUAAUUCUGUAUUUUUUUGAGCUCAUGAUUUUGAUCCUACAGACCUAAGUUUUCUAAUCCAUUUUUGAUCAACUGUGGAAUUUUUUAAACAUUGCAAUGGAGAUUUCACCUGAGAAAAGCUACAAAGCCUUGUGUUAUGUGUGCACACUUGUGUUAUGUGUUGUAUGUCUGUAUGUGGGUAUGUCAUAUAUCAUGCAAUGAUAUGGCAAUUGGCAGAUAUAUGAGGAGCCUCAUGAAAUUAAAAAAAAAAAAUGGAUCCAAAUAUCUUUGAUUCACGUGAUUCAAAUGGUUCAAUUUAAAUUUGGUAAAUAGAUAAAAGUAAAGAUGUCUUUAAAAUUAAACUUAUAAGUUUUUCUAGGUGUUCAAAAAAACUAAUAAAAUGUUGAUGCCUAUGAAAAAAUCUGCCUAAAUUCAGAAAUUUACAAGUAUUGUUUCAAAAUGUGAACAGAAGGAGGUUAACAGAUGGAAAAGAGAAACUAGAAGGUUCUAGAUAUGGAUUUAAUAGAGGUAAAAUGUGUUUCUGGACAAGAGAGUCUAUGUGAUUAAGUAAAUAAGAGGGUUUAAGUAAGUGAUGAAGAAGGUCUGUGUAAGUUGGUUAUAUAUGUAAGUUUUUUGAGCAAGUAAUCUUAAAGAAAUUAAAAAUUAUACAACUAUGGUUAAACAACAACUAUUAUUUUUCAAUAUUGUAAUAUGUUAUUUCUUUAAAAGCUAAAUUUGGUUAAUAUAAAAUCAUAGAUGUAAUUGUGGUGCUAUUAAUGUGUUCAUAGACUUGUAUACAAGUCUAUAAGGUAGAAGCUUUAAAAGAGCAUUAUAUCAAUCUGGUGUUCUAAAGUUGUAUGGUAAUUUUAGGCUUAAAAGAAAAACAUGUUGGAGAUUUAUUUAUAUCAUUAUGUUCUAUAACUGGACUUGUUAUCAAUAAGAUAUGUAAAGUCCUAUGUUACUUUUCACACUGAGAUACAAUUUAAAUGUAUUUUUAAGUUAAUGAGAGCCUAAGCUGUAUGAAGGUUUUAUUGCAAAACACAAAACUACUUUGCUACUUUGCUAUAAAAGGUUAAAAUCUUUAAGCCUUUCUUUAAUUCAUGUUUUAGAUGUGAUACUAUAUUGUGUUAGCUAAUAUUCAUGUGAACUUGAGCAACAAUUUAUGUAGGCUUUGUAAAAUGAUGUUUAAAAAGCAAAAAUCAGUUUCAGAACUACAGUACUUAAGAUUUAUGAAGAGCCCUGCCUUACCUGAGGUAAAGCUCUGUGUCCCAUCUCACUACAUGUAAAAAUGACUAUGAAAGAAGUAGGCCAAAUUUCAGUACAUUUAAAGUUGUGUCCAAAACUUGGUUUUUGUCAUGAUUACUAGGAUCUCAAACAGGGGAUUAUAAUGUAUAACUCUAUCAAAAUUCAAGGUAGCUAUUGCAUGAACUAAAUAUGUUUUUACUCUUGUUAAUUUUAUUUUGUAGUUUUCUGAUAAAUGGUCUAAAGAUUGCCUGUUAAUGUUUUGCAGAGGUACUGCUUUAAGAACACACAACCUGGGUUGAUUUAAGAUAAUGAGUUAUCACCUACAGGAUAGAGAGAUAGACAUUAAAGCCCAGUACUCUUAAUAAAAGGCUGUUGAAAUUUAUUUGCUGGAUGUUUAAGAUUAAGUUUUAAAAUUAAAGUUAAAUUAAAAGGGCCAAGAAAACCAAUGUUUGGCUCUUGCCCUCUGAGUCAGUCUGAAUCCAGGGUACAGGGGACAUCUCUAAAGAGCUUUGCAACUCUUGGCCACAUAACCUCCCAAUCAGAGAGAUUAAUGAGACCACUGGAGAACCAAAAGCCAAUCAGUGCAUUUGCUAUGAAGAGGCGGGUCAUCAGAUAAGGGAGACAUCCCUGAUGCUUCUAAGGGAAGCCACAUGGUCAAGCAAGGCCUGGACCCAUCCUAGCGCAAAUGGCACUAAGCAGAACUGAGAAGCUGCUGUAAAGUUCCCCCAAGACUCCCAGGGAAACUCAGCUGUUAACAACAGAUAGAAACAAAAGUCAGUUUGACUGCUUCAUCUUAAACACUUAGCAAAGACAGUUAAAGCCAAAAACACAGUUAUUCCUGGGCAUUUUAAAUAAUAAUAAUAGUUAAAUGUAACUUCCAAGAAUAAGUAAACUGGAGGCUACAAAAGAGAUUCUUAGGCAGGAAUGCCUGAUAACUAUCAAAAGAAACUGCCAGAGUAGUUUUUAGUUUAAGGCCUACAGAUAUUCCUAACCUACACAGGUAGGCUUGGUGUUUGCUAGUAUGAUUAUGCAGCUCUAAGUAACAGAAUUUAAGGUUUCUCUAUUAGACACAGAGGUUAUACUAGUAAAAGGAUUUUACAAGAUCAGAUGACAUUAAAUUAUUAAACUGUAUCUUAUGGGGAAGGACAUCUGUAACCCUAAAAGUUAAAUGUUAUGUUUACAGUCCUGAUUACUGGGGAUGUUAAAGCCUGGUGAGGGGACUUAUUUAUGUACAGUGACAUGUUCCAGCUGCUGCAACAUUUAUUCAGUACUCAUGGUUUUUGUUUCUCUCAUAGAAGCACCCAUCCCCAGAUGACAACCUGUUUUUCCCCAACCAGACUUCAACUAGAACUGACUUCUAAAAGGGAACUCAUGUCCCCCAUGUCAUCGUCCCCCAUGUCAUUGAGCCCCCUCAUGUUCAACACCCCUUUUCAGCUCUGAAGCAGCCAGAACAAGCCAUCGCCCCUUCUCCUUACAGCAAUAAAGUUUCUAAAAUUAGGGGGGAAUAAAGCUAGAAAUGGAUAGGCAGUGUAGAUAGGUAAAUCGAGUCAGGUUGGAUCUAGGAGACCAAUUCUGAGUGAGUCUGGGAAGUUGAAGACUGUCCCCUGAGGAUUACUGUUUACCAAGAUGUAGAGCCAGCCCAAAUAGGCCCCCAACUGUGGAAACCAUGAUUGGUUCCCAAGUUUCCAGACAAAGGGGGGAAUGAAAAACCAGCCUCUAUCUCAGAGCAAAGCCUGUCCAAGGAAGGGACAUCACCUUUGUCCUUGGAAAAACCCACAGAGCACUCCUAGGCACAUUCCCACCCUGCUAAGUUGUUUAUCUACAAAUAACAGGAGAGAUCUGCUGCACCAGGUGUCCCUGACUCAGUCAGGCUAGGUGGGGAUCCAUAGCAAACCCCUAGCAGCCACCAAACAGCAUGAGACAGGGAAAUAUCUGGGAUGCCAGAUGACCCUCCCAGUAGUUUAUGGUGGUUGAUAACAUGUUGGGAAACCAUGUAGUUCAGGACGUACACCCCUCUUGGCUUAAACCAAUCAGUUCAAAUGAAUACCCCUUUUGUACUGACCAAUCACCCCUACCCAACUUGUUCCCACCAGUGAAUGUGCUAAUCAUGUUUUAGAGUUGUUAUUUGAUUUUCCCUCAGUGUGUGAUGAUUUGCUAAGAGAUGCUAUGAUGUAUGUGAAGUCCCUGCCUUCUCCAAAGAAUGUAUAAAACUGCUGCAAACCCUGGGCUGGGUCCUCUCAGGGUCACCAGUUGCUGUGUGCGCCCAGAGGACCGAGCUAGCUCGCAAUAAACACCUCUUUGCUGCUUACAUCGAUCUUGGGUCUCUGGUGGUCUUUUGGGGUCCCGAAUUCGAGCAUAACAAUAGAAAUCUGUUUACACUUGAAUCUAUCUAUGACUGAAGACAGUAACGAUGUCUUUAUCAGUGACCAUGUCUUUUUAAAUAUUUUUUACUUGUAAAUGGCUUAUUUAUUUAUUUAUUUAUUUAUUCAUAUGUGGUGCUGAAGAGCAAACCCAGGGCCUCACACAUGCCAGGCAAGUGCUCGACCACUGAACCACAUUUUUUUUUAAAGUUGUGAGAAAGUGAUGUGAUUCUAUUUUUUAAGAAACCAGCCUCUACCUCAGAGCAGGGUCUGUCCAAAGUGUGUGUGUGUGGCGGGGGGACCCUUGUCCUUGGAA
rnacentral:lncRNA from 1 species